rnacentral:rRNA from 3 species
UGUGCCUUCGGGAACCGUGAGACAGGUGCUGCAUGGCUGUCGUCAGCUCGUGUUGUGAAAUGUUGGGUUAAGUCCCGCAACGAGCGCAACCCUUAUCCUUUGUUGCCAGCGGUCCGGCCGGGAACUCAAAGGAGACUGCCAGUGAUAAACUGGAGGAAGGUGGGGAUGACGUCAAGUCAUCAUGGCCCUUACGACCAGGGCUACACACGUGCUACAAUGGCGCAUACAAAGAGAAGCGACCU